rnacentral:rRNA from 1 species
UACAGAGGGGGCAAGCGUUGUUCGGAAUUACUGGGCGUAAAGGGUUUGUAGGUGGCCCGCUAUGUCACACGUGGAAUCCCUCAGCUUAACUGGGGAACUGCGUGUGAGACUGGCAGGCUCGAGGGCAGGAGAGGAACGCGGAAUUCCAGGUGUAGCGGUGAAAUGCGUAGAUAUCGUAAGGAAGACCAGUGGCGAAGGCGGGUCUCUGGGCAGUUCCUGACGCUGAGGCACGAAGGUCAGGGGAGCAAACGGG